UAGUAAUUAUGUUUCUAUCGAAAAGCCCGAUAAUUUCUACAAGGUCACACUUCGUUUAAAGCCGAGUUAGUCAUUUUUUUCAAUCAAGUACAAAUGCGAGGUUUAUUUCACGACUAGAAUAUUCCGAUGAGGAAGGAAGAAUCACAGUUUUAUUCGACCGCGCUAGACGAGAAUUAGCUAAAUCUAUUAAUGAGGAUUAAUAGUAGAAUUCCCAAUUAUCGCUCAAAAGAUUAGUUCAUGCAUACCAGAUUCAUGCAUAGUUAAUUACGCUUUCUCAUUAAUUGAGAAUUUUCCUCGAGGCAAUGUCUUAUUUUACAUUCUCAUGAUUAAGGUCAAGCGCGAGAGUAAGAACUAUUCAAGAAGUCACAGUACCUUAGCAAAACUUUGCUAUCAGGUUGAGUUGUGAUGGGCGAUGAAGUGUUGCUGAGUGGAGUUUUUGUUGAACUUAAAGUAGGCUCAGAAAGGAUAUAUGUCUUCAUACAUGUAUCUCAGUUAUGCAUUCCGCUGUAAACACUGAUUAUUUCAGUUACACCUUCCGUUGCAAACUCUGAUAAUGUUUUAGCCAAGCCCCUAACGAUGCCUUUUUCCUUUUAAGGAAUAUAACGCGUAUACAAGUUCUUUGAGUA